CAUCAAUAUGCAUGAUGUCAGUCUCUUUCACACACAAGGGUGUGUGUGUGUAUAAACAGAUCAGAAAGUAUGUUUCACCAGCAGGAACCAAGAGGCUUGAAGCAAGAUUGGGGAGAAGAAGGUUCCACCUGUGGAAAAGAUUUCCAUGAAGGGCAGCACCAGCAGCCUUUCACUGAGGAUUUCCUGGUCCAACUGCUCAGCUACCUGGGAAGCAGGCUUCUGACCUGGAGCAGGAUUUCUCUGACUCCCCUGAACAGGGAGGCAUCUUGGCAGCCCUCGACCUCAGUAGAGACAGGAGCUUCGAUCGUGUCCCAGUUGCAUCUCCAGCACACAGCACAGUUCUCAGCCACGGUAGAGACUAAACAAACAGUUGUUGAAUGAAUGAAAGCAUUUACCUCCCACCUCCUUGCUUCCUGCUCCACCCAACAAGAUUUCCGCUGAUAACUCGAAAGGCAAGUGUCCUUUUGUACCUGUUCGGCCAUCAAAAGGACUGUGAAUUCUAGCUGCCACUCAAAAAGAAGUUCUCCGUGGAUUAAAUUUAAUUCAGCAAACAUUUAUGGGUACCCACAACACAGCACGUAAAGGGCCCAGGAGCCGGGAAACCCCAACCAAGUCUGGAGGGUCUAAGCCUGUGGCACGCCCGUGGUGGUCAUCAGUAAUUGAUCACAGCAGGUCCACAGGUGGCUUAAGGACUCUCUCAGCAAAGCCAUCCAGGCAGCCACUCAGCGGGACCAGCCUACCGCCAUCCUGAUGGUGGGUGGGUGCCUGGCUCGGCUUCCAUAUGAAGUUCAAUAAAUAAAGCCUGAACAAAAA